rnacentral:ncRNA from 1 species
CACCAUCCUACCCCUAAGCGGGAGGCAAAAUCGUCUGUAGAAUCAUUUUAUCAACUUCUUUAUUCCUAGUCUUUCCCCUUUCCAAAAAAAAUAUAGUAUAAGAAUCAAAGAAUGCAAAUAAAUCGGUAUGUUUAUAUUUCAUUAUACCUUAAAGACUGGUAAAGGCGAAAGCAACCUUCUAUCUAAUAACUGACGUUGAGGUACGAAGGCCUGGGUAGCAAACAGGAUUAGAUACCCUAGUAGUCCAGGCAGAGAAUUAUGAAUGCCAUAUGCUAGAUUAAUUUAGCAUAUAAAUGAAGGUGUAAGCAUUUCACCUUAAAAAGUAAUGCGGCAACGCAGAAACUGAAAUCAUUAGGCCGUUUCUGAAAUCAGUAGUGA